rnacentral:rRNA from 1 species
GACGAACGCUGGCGGCGUGCUUAACACAUGCAAGUCGAACGGAAAGGCCCUGCUUUUGUGGGGUGCUCGAGUGGCGAACGGGUGAGUAACACGUGAGUAACCUGCCCUUGACUUUGGGAUAACUUCAGGAAACUGGGGCUAAUACCGGAUAGGAGCUCCUGCUGCAUGGUGGGGGUUGGAAAGUUUCGGCGGUUGGGGAUGGACUCGCGGCUUAUCAGCUUGUUGGUGGGGUAGUGGCUUACCAAGGCUUUGACGGGUAGCCGGCCUGAGAGGGUAACCGGCCCCACUGCGACUGAGAUACGGCACAGACUCCUAUGGGACGCAGCAGUGGAGAAUAGUGCACAAUGGGCGGAAGCCUGAUGUAGCAACGCCGCGCGCGGGAUGACGGCCUUCGGGUUGUAAACCGCUUUCGCCUGUGACGAAGCGUGAGUGACGGUAAUGGGUAAAGAAGCACCGGCUAACUACGUG